GACGAACGCUGGCGGCGUGCUUAACACAUGCAAGUCGAGCGGAAAGGCCCUUCGGGGUACUCGAGCGGCGAACGGGUGAGUAACACGUGAGUAACCUGCCCCAGACUUUGGGAUAACCCUCGGAAACGGGGGCUAAUACCGGAUACGACACAGCUUCGCAUGGGGUCUGUGUGGAAAGUUUUUCGGUUUGGGAUGGGCUCGCGGCCUAUCAGCUUGUUGGUGGGGUGAUGGCCUACCAAGGCGACGACGGGUAGCCGGCCUGAGAGGGCGACCGGCCACACUGGGACUGAGACACGGCCCAGACUCCUACGGGAUGCAGCAGUGGGGAAUAUUGCAAAAUGGGCGGAAGCCUGAUGCAGCGACGCCGCGUGAGGGAUGACGGCCUUCGGGUUGUAAACCUCUUCCAGCAGGCACGAAGCGUAAGUGACGGUACCUGCAGAAGAAGCGCCGGCCAACUCCGUG
rnacentral:rRNA from 1 species